rnacentral:misc_RNA from 1 species
GCCAGAACUUUGAUUUUAAGAUUUUUGUAAUAUUUUGAAAGUGCUAAACAUUUGCCUGUUAUUUAUUGUUAAUAUUUAUCUGAAGAUGCUUCUAGGAAUUAAUCUAUAAACAAUAGAGAUGGUAUGUUUGUGAAAAUAGCUUUCUAAAAUCAGGUUAUUUUUUCAUAAGGUAUUAACUUUCAUGUAGCUUGAUUCAUUUCCUUUUGAAUGCCCUGAUGGCCAAAAUAAUUUCAGAUAUUUGCUGUAAAGAAAUACAUAUUUGACAACAUUAUGAUGGAAAAUGUAUUGGAAUGAAGUGUACACAAUGUAUUGUGAUAUCCAGACGUUUAUUUCUCUAGUCAUUGAAUAAUCUAAAAUCAAUUUACUCAAUCCAAUUGCAGGCAUAAUUAUGUUAUUUAAAAAGAUGACUUUUAUAUUAUUUCUCUCUGUUUCAUUAAUGACUUGUAUGCUCCAGUACAUGUACCUGGUACAUAUACAUGAUAUGUUAAGUCUCUCUCAGGCAGUCUGUGACAAUUCUGAUAAGGAAUAACAUAGUAUUGUAGGUCUAAUUAUUUAAGGGUCUUCUUGAGGAGUGUUUUCUAGGGAAUUCUAUCAACUUUUGCUCUUUAUCUAACACUGGUGUCAUCCUGAAUACAUCGUGAUCUGGUAUCAUCUCUUUUGUACACCAGUCUUUGCAAUUGUCUCAAUGAUAAUAAAUCUUUUACAA